UUUUGGCUGGAUUAGUAACAUCUUUCCUUUGUCUUCAUCCACCAGUGUUCUGGCUUCCCAGAAAGUGUGGAAUAUUGGCCUUCCUUUUCAGAUUCAUGUGAAAGCUUGGAGAAAAGAACACAGGCUAAAAGGAAUAUAAAUCCAAAAGAAUGAGUGAAAUGGGAAUACACAAGGCAUGAUGAGCAAUAAGACUGUUCUCUCAGAAACAAUGAGAAUAACUGCUCUACAGCUUACAAACCAG
rnacentral:lncRNA from 1 species